rnacentral:rRNA from 1 species
CCUACGGGUGGCAGCAGUGGGGAAUAUUGGACAAUGGGGGAAACCCUGAUCCAGCGACGCCGCGUGAGGGAAGAAGGUGUUCGGAGUGUAAACCGCUGUCAGUGGGGACGAGAAUGACGGUACCCACGGAGGAAGCCACGGCUAACUACGGGCCAGCAGCCGCGGUAAUACGUAGGUGGCAAGCGUUGUCCGGAAUUACUGGGGGUAAAGGGAGCGUAGGCGGGAUGUCAAGUCAGAAGUGAAAAUUAUGGGCUCCACUCAUAACCUGCUUUUGAAACUGAUAUUCUUGAGUGAAGUAGAGGCCAGCGGACUUCCUCGUGUAGCUGUGAACUGCGUAGAUAUUAGGCGG